AUUGCGUGAUUACAGAGGGUGUGGUAUUUAGGUGUUGCUGGUGACACUUCCAGUCUUAAAGGGUUUAGAAUUAAAAUGUUAUAAAAAAAAAGGUAGUAGACGUAUCACAUAUUCUAACUGCAUCCACUUGAAUAGGAAACAAAGAAGAGGCAAUUCUAUAAUGGAUCCUCAUAUUGCACAAAAACACUAAAGAAGUCAUAUACAUUUUUCUUAUAUAAGAGUUCGCAAAUUUUAGCCAAAAAUAAAUCUUUCUCUCCUUGUAUUUCCUUUCAGUUAAACUUGCAGCACAUUUACGUUGGUGUUAUCUCAUAUGGAACUUUCUGUUGUUGUGCUUUUACUAAAAUAGAAGUCUGCCGUUAUCUAUAAUUAUUUAAAUAAUUAGCAGCUUUCUGUUGGAGUUUUCUUUUUUUUUUUUUUUCGCUCUUUCUGAAGCUGUUUAUGCUAAAGGUUUCAAUACAAGCAAGACUAGGAAAUGCUCCACAAACUAAGUUUUUUUCAGGUGGUCUUUUGUGGUGAUUUGUUUUUUUACACUCUGAAAUGACAUAGGUAAUGUUUUAACAGGAUAAUUAUAUAUGUUUAAGUAAUUGGUAUGAUUCACUCAUGUAGUUGCUGUGACGAUUUUCUGAGUAUACAAAUAUUGCAGCAGUGCACACAAAGUCGUGAUGGAAAGGUCUUUGCUGCCGCCUGUUUUUAACCUUCGCCAGUGACUGCAUGUGGAUAAGGUGUGUUUCACUCUUUCUAUGCUUCUUCUCUCCUUGGUAAUGGACUCUGCUGGGGGCAGCCUCAAUCUGCACGACAUAAAAGGAAGAAAGCUGAAGCUUCCUUUUCUCAGCGUGUUUCUAAUGAACCCAAACAGCGCUGGCUCGUGUGAGUCAAUUUUCUCAGUGUAUUCACAACGCAUGGAGCAGAAAGUCGCCUUACUGAAGCAGUAAGUUUUCAUGCUGAUCAGCAUGGAACCGAUAUAUCUGUGGGCACAACUUAAAAUAAAAAAAAA